rnacentral:rRNA from 1 species
GACAGAGGGGGCAAGCGUUGCUCGGAAUUACUGGGCGUAAAGGGUGCGUAGGCGGCGCGGUAAGUCGGGUGUGAAAUCUCGGAGCUUAACUCCGAAACUGCAUUCGAUACUGCCGUGCUUGAGGACUGGAGAGGAGACUGGAAUUUACGGUGUAGCGGUGAAAUGCGUAGAUAUCGUAAGGAAGACCAGUGGCGAAGGCGGGUCUCUGGACAGUUCCUGACGCUGAGGCACGAAGGUCAGGGGAGCAAACGGG